GAUAGCUUGACUCUUCCCUCCUCUUCACAUAAAUACCAACUCGGAGCAAACAAGUAUCACAGCCUCACCUAGGAGCCUCAUGAGGACAUCAGAGGCAGUGCACUCAUAACUGUUACCUGAGGACAAAACUACAAACACAAGGUCUUCCUUCCAAGGAAUAAUUACUACUUUCUCUCUCUUGCACGAAAGACAAGAUCUACAGUCUACUAUAGGCAUGGACAACAGACUAGUCUUCACUGUCCUGGUUGUGAUGAUGUCCUUGAACUUUAUGGGCCCCUAUGCUCAAAGCUCCACAACCACAACUGCAGCAACCACAACGACACCAACCCCCACCACUGCGGCAACCACGAAACCAUCCACCACAACUGCGGCAACCACAACGACAACAACCGCAACCGCAACUACAG
ensembl:lncRNA